rnacentral:rRNA from 1 species
GACCCCCCGAAACUAAGCGAGCUACUCCAAAGCAGCCUCAUAGGGCCAACCCGUCUCUGUCGCAAAAGAGUGGGAAGACUUUAGAGUAGAGGUGAUACACCUACCGAGCCUAGAGAUAGCUGGUUAUUCGAGAAAAGGAUUUUAGUCCACCUUUAAGUUUUUCAAGUACUACAAAACGCCCAACAAACUUAAAAGCCAUUCAAAUAAGGUACAGCCUAUUUGAAAAAGGAGACAACCUCCAAUUUAGGGUAAUGACAUAUAUUAUGUGACCAAGUCAGCCUAAAAGCAGCUAUCUUCCAAAAAGCGUCCAAGCUUCAUCACAAAACUUGAUUAAUUCCACAACCAACUCACAACCCCCAACCGCUACUGAAUACUCCCAUACCACUAUGGGAAAUAUUAUGCUAGAACUAGUAACAAGAAAUAGAACUUCUCCAAAAUGUAAGCGUGGGCCAAAAUGAACCCUCCCCGGCAUUUACCGCCUCAAACUUAUAGUAUUAACCCCACAAGAAAACCAUACUCUAACUGGCGUCAACCUUACACUAGAACAUUCCCGGAAAGAUUAAAAAAGAAGGAAGGAACUCGGCAAACAUUAGCC